rnacentral:rRNA from 1 species
UACGUAGGCAGCAAGCGUUGUUCGGAAUUACUGGGCGUAAAGAGUUCGUAGGCGGUGCGGCAAGUUCGGUGUGAAAUCUCCCGGCUCAACUGGGAGGGUGCGCUAAAUACUGCCGUGCUCGAGUAUAGGAGAGGUAAGCGGAAUUCCUGGUGUAGCGGUGAAAUGCGUAGAUAUCAGGAGGAGCACCUGUGGUGUAGACGGCUUACUGGACUAUAACUGACGCUGAGGAACGAAAGCGUGGGUAGCAAACAGG